GCGGCGAUGGCUCAGUAGGCAGAGUGUCGGACUAGUAAUCCAGAGGUUCUGGGUUCAAGCCUGACUCUCUGCA
rfam:Nasonia vitripennis chromosome 2, whole genome shotgun sequence.